rnacentral:rRNA from 1 species
UACGUAGGGGGCUAGCGUUAUCCGGAAUUACUGGGCGUAAAGGGUGCGUAGGUGGUUUCUUAAGUCAGAGGUGAAAGGCUACGGCUCAACCGUAGUAAGCCUUUGAAACUGAGAAACUUGAGUGCAGGAGAGGAGAGUAGAAUUCCUAGUGUAGCGGUGAAAUGCGUAGAUAUUAGGAGGAACACCAAUGGCGAAGGCAGCACUCUGGGACGUGACUGACGCUGAGACGCGAAAGCGUGGGGAGCGAACAGGA